GUGUCAGCAGCCGCGGUAAUACGUAGGGUGCGAGCGUUGUCCGGAUUUAUUGGGCGUAAGGGGCUCGUAGGCGGCCUGUCGCGUCGGAAGUGAAAGCCCACUGCUUAACGGUGGGUCUGCUUCCGGUACGGGCAGGCUAGAGUAUGGCAGGGGAGACUGGAAUUCCUGGUGUAGCGGUGGAAUGCGCAGAUAUCAGGAGGAACACCGGUGGCGAAGGCGGGUCUCUGGGCCAUUACUGACGCUGAGGAGCGAAAGCGUGGGGAGCGAACAGGAUUAGAAACCCCUGUAGUCC
rnacentral:rRNA from 1 species